UACGUAGGGUCCGAGCGUUGUCCGGAAUUAUUGGGCGUAAAGAGCUCGUAGGCGGUUUGUCGCGUCUGCCGUGAAAGUCCGGGGCUCAACUCCGGAUCUGCGGUGGGUACGGGCAGACUAGAGUGAUGUAGGGGAGACUGGAAUUCCUGGUGUAGCGGUGAAAUGCGCAGAUAUCAGGAGGAACACCAGUGGCGAAGGCGAGUCUCUGGGAUGAUGCUGACGCUGAGGCGCGAAAGCCAGGGGAGCAAACGGG
rnacentral:rRNA from 1 species